rnacentral:rRNA from 1 species
GACGUAGGGGGCCAGCGUUGUUCGGAAUUACUGGGUGUAAAGGGUUCGUAGGCGGUGUGGCAAGUCGGUAGUGAAAUCUCCAGGCUUAACUUGGAGGCUGCUGCCGAAACUGCCGUGCUAGAGUGCAGGAGAGGCGAGUGGAAUUACAGGUGUAGCGGUGAAAUGCGUAGAUAUCUGUAGGAACACCCGUGGCGAAGGCGGCUCGCUGGACUGCAACUGACGCUGAGGAACGAAAGCUAGGGGAGCAAACAGG